AUGAAUCUCCUGAGUUGGAACUGUCGAGGUGGGGGGGGGACUCGGACAGUUCGUGACCUUGUAAGCCAUGUGCAGGCGCCUUCCCCCAGUAUCGUUUUUCUUUGUGAGACUAGGCAGUCAAAAAGUCGGAUGAAAAGAUAUCGCUCAAGGUUAGGAUUAAGUGGAUUAGAAGCAGCGGAUAGUGUUGGUCUUAGUUGAGGUUUAGCCCUUUAUUGGGAUGAGUCAUUAGUCUUGAUGUAA
rnacentral:rRNA from 1 species